UGAGGAACAUGACCUUCGGCGGGGGAUAGCCGGCCCAACGGCCGGGUAAUACCGCGUACGACCACAUGGGGACAUCCCUGAGUGGUGAAAGCAGCAAUGCGCCGAUGGAGUGCCUCGCGGCCUAUCAGCUAGUUGGUGUGGGUAAUGGCCCACCAAGGCGACGACGGGUAGCCGGCCUGAGAGGGUGACCGGCCACACUGGGACUGAGACACGGCCCAGACCUCCCGUACGGGGAGGNAGCG
rnacentral:rRNA from 1 species